CUAUCAGUCUAGAAAAUUCUUCUGAUGACCACACCUCAAGGGCACUUUGAGGCUCAGGCAUCUGCCAUGUGUAACUAACAGCAGUGGAUUUCCAUU